rnacentral:lncRNA from 1 species
CUUAGGGGAACUUUUCCUAAAAUUUGCAUUUGUGUCUUUAUCUUAGGGAAAUAAAAGAAUAUUAUUGAAAAAAAAAGCUUGGGGAGAUGCCCACGUAUUUAGAGUUUGAGUUAGACAUCUUAAGAAUUCUUUUUUCUUUUUUUUUGGGGUAAGUUAGUUCGUGAAAAUGGCCCCUACCCAUUUUUUUAUUAAUAAUAGAUUGGAAAAGAUACAAGUUCAACUGAUUACAAUCCUAUCAUAGGGCAUUUGUAGAGCAUGAAACAAUAAGCAAUAGAGAAAGAAAUCGGGGGGC